rnacentral:rRNA from 1 species
UACAGAGGGUGCGAGCGUUAAUCGGAAUUACUGGGCGUAAAGCGCACGUAGUCGGCUUGGUAUGUCGGGUGUGAAAUCCCCGGGCUCAACCUGGGAACUGCAUCCGAAACUGCCUUGCUAGAGUAUGGGAGAGGGAAGCGGAAUUUCCGGUGUAGCAGUGAAAUGCGUAGAUAUCGGAAGGAACAUCAGUGGCGAAGGCGGCUUCCUGGACCAAUACUGACGAUCAGGUGCGAAAGCGUGGGGAG